AACGAACGCUGGCGGCAGGCUUAACACAUGCAAGUCGAGCGCCCCGCAAGGGGAGCGGCAGACGGGUGAGUAACGCGUGGGGAUCUGCCUAGUGGUACGGAACAACACGGGGAAACUCGUGCUAAUACCGUAUAAGUCCUUCGGGAGAAAGAUUUAUCGCCAUUAGAUGAACCCGCGUCUGAUUAGCUAGUUGGUGAGGUAACGGCUCACCAAGGCGACGAUCAGUAGCUGGUCUGAGAGGAUGAUCAGCCACACUGGGACUGAGACACGGCCCAGACUCCUACGGGAGGCAGCAGUGGGGAAUAUUGGACAAUGGGGGCAACCCUGAUCCAGCCAUGCCGCGUGAGUGAUGAAGGCCUUAGGGUUGUAAAGCUCUUUCGCUAGGGAAGAUAAUGACGGUACCUAGAUAAGAAGCCCCGGCUAACUUCGUGCCAGCCGCCGCAGUAAAAC
rnacentral:rRNA from 1 species